UCCACUGCAGUCGGUCCUAAGUGAUAGGCGAGUGCCGUUCCGAAAGGGCGGGCGAUGGCCUCCGUUGCCCUCAGCCGAUCGAAAGGGAGUCAGAUCGGAAGAGCAAA